rnacentral:piRNA from 1 species
UAGGAUCUGUGGCCUAAGUUCAGGGCAUGC